rnacentral:rRNA from 1 species
UACGUAGGCAGCGAGCGUUGUUCGGAAUUACUGGGCGUAAAGAGUGUGUAGGCGGUGCUCCCAGUCUGUUGUGAAAUCUCCCGGCUUAACUGGGAGGGUGCAGCGGAAACUAGAGUGCUAGAGGGUGGGAGAGGUAAGCGGGAAUUCCUGGUGUAGCGGUGAAAUGCGUAGAUAUCAGGAGGAACACCUGUGGUGUAGACAGCUUACUGGACCACUUCUGACGCUGAGACACGAAAGCGUGGGUAGCAAACAGG